UUCUCAAAACGCCGACCUCAGAGCAGGUGA
rnacentral:rRNA from 1 species